rnacentral:rRNA from 1 species
GGGGAAUAUUGGGCAAUGGGCGAAAGCCUGACCCAGCAACGCCGCGUGAGGGAAGAAGGUCUUCGGAUUGUAAACCUCUGUCCUUGGGGACGAAAAAAAUGACGGUACCCAAGGAGGAAGCCCCGGCUAACUACGUGCCAGCAGCCGCGGUAAUACGUAGGGGGCGAGCGUUGUCCGGAAUUACUGGGCGUAAAGGGUGCGUAGGCGGUUGCCUAAGUCAGAUGUGAAAUCCCCGGGCUUAACUCGGGUGGUGCAUUUGAAACUGGGUGACUAGAGUGCAGGAGAGGGAAGCGGAAUUCCUAGUGUAGCGGUGAAAUGCGUAGAUAUUAGGAGGAACACCAGUGGCGAAGGCGGCUUUCUGGACUGUAACUGACGCUGAGGCACGAAAGCGUGGGGAGCAAAC